UUCCCUGUUUGAUGUAGAUGAGCUCCACCUGUCCAGAAACAGUCAGCACCUCCUCUUCCAGGAACCUCUUCUCCCCUGUUCUCUCAAACUCACACCUUUAUGAUCACACUGACAUGGUCAUUUAACACAGAGUUAUAAUUACAACAGCCUUGAAGCAACAAGCCUUUCGAUUUCACAUCUCCUUUCACACUGCCACACUGUUAGGAUCACAAACUGUAUAUUAAGAUGGUCGUAGUCACCGGGUCCGGAAAAUUAAGUCAAUGAGGAAAUGCCUCAAACCUUUAUACGCUGGAAUCACCAGCAGAGGGCGACUCCACUGGUUGGAAAGAAAGAAGUCAGUUUCUAUAGAGGUCUAUGAAAAUCGACUCAACUUCUCACCUGAUUUAUAACGUCAGUAAACAUUUUCCUGAGGAGUUUAUGGUACCAAUCUCUAGUUUCAUGUCUUUUCCAAAGUCAUUUCAUUUUGUAAAUUGUGAUCCCUUUUAGAGGAAAACAGAUGAUAAAUAGAUGAUAUGCAUUGGAGAGUGGAUGCAGUGUGAAUAACAGCUAGUAUCGUCCAAUCAGAACAAAUGGGUGACUUCGCGGUGGGUUGUCACUUGGAUGGACGUCAUGACAACUCCCAAAAGUGAGGCCAAAACAUCUGGAUCAUCCUCUGGGACCAAACUAAAAGGGUUGAGACGUCAUGAUUGACAGCUGACCCGCGACCUCGAUACCGUGGCUCCUCUUCACGGUCACCACUGCGCAGACUCUGGCUCCAAAUGACGUCACUAGCGCAAGAUGGCAGCACCUUCAUCUGGGAUAUUUAGGCUUAGGCAAGCUCUUUGUAAGACUUUGUAAAUACAACGAAUAUCUGUCAGGGUAAAACUAAAAGAUUCAACUACAAUAUUUGCCAUAGUGGCCCUUGAGGUUGUAUAACUGCUGCAGUGUGUGUCGGUCGCCCAGUGUUUCUCUGCAGGCAGACGUGACAUUUGACACUGUGACCCAAAUACCCCUUAUGCUUUUAGGGCUCCCUUAAGGUGACGCCUGUUGUACUCGGAGGACUGAUGAGACGUCAGCUGCAGAAGAGAGUCUCAGUCGUGUAUUUGACGCCUAGAGCCGUCCUACUGUUCCGUGACCAUCUGUUUCUCGUCAUGCUGCAGUUGUCCCGGAGCCCGCUGAUGGCAAGAGAUUUUCUGUCAUUCUGGCAUGUGCCACUGGAUCUUUGUGGAGGGUCUUGUUCAACUGUGCAGUAUGUGUGUGUGUGUGUGACAGGCAGAGGGUGAGUGAAAGAGGGAAUUAGUCCCUAUAAAAAGAUGCCUAAAUGUUUCAGAGUAUAAUCAAAUCACUUGGCCAAAAUACACAUACAUUAAGUGCUAAUUGCAACACUAGCAAGAGGUCACACGAGGAAUAGCCACGGAGCUCUCAUCUAACAACUCGCCAUCUAUUUUUUCCUCUCUGACAUUAUUUCUCAUUAAAGAAGUAACUUGUAAAAACAGACAGCGCAUAGACCCCCGCUGAGGUCAGGACCUGAACUUUGUUUACACAUGUUACGAGCGGCCGAUCGCCCACCGGCACAAAACGCUCGUAUCAGCAGUACAGUAUGUAAUCCAAGCUGCACAACUAAAGCUAGGUGUGGUGCAUAUAUACACUAACCCUUUAUACCCCGGCACUUGCUUAUGAGCUGUGUCAUAUUUAUAUCCUCGGAACCAUUUGACACCGCUGCUGACGCAAGAUGGACCGAGAUCUGUGAUCUCUGACCGUUGCCGUCAAGCAAGACGAGCUGAAGCUUACAGUAGGUGACAGAAGCAGAACAAAGUCAGCAAGCAGAUUUCUGUUGUGCGCCUCGAAGGACAAGUUUUGUGAAAUAAUAGCCUGAAAUACAUGUGCGGACGUAAUAAAAGAAGAAAAAAAAGGGUGUGAUUCAGUUUAAGCAAACAGUCUGGGUGUGUGUCUGUGACUAGGCAGGAAAGAUGGAGGUUUGAAAGGAGGGGGAGGGGGGAUAAUCAGCUGUUGCAUUCCCCAGUGAUUGUGAUACAGCAGGAGCGUGUGUGUGUGUGUGUGUGUGUGUCCAUAUUUAGUCAGGGCUCCUCUGUGACCACAGGGCCCCCGUGUGUGCGUCAUUUACACCCCGUCCUGCCACACAGGUCCUCCUCCAGACGCCCGGCUGCCUGCCCCACGCAACAGAACAAUGUCCACAGAGCGUCUGAAUGCCAGCGAACGCUAUCCAGCUAGCUGUACUCCAAGAGGCCAGGUCUGGCGUCCCAUGCCGUGCACAGGUUGUACUUUGCCAGAGGAUCGUAGAGCGAGGAAAACCACUGCCAGGAACAGAUGUGUCACGUCCCCACAGCUUAUAUAAUAAUUCCUCUUUUUCCUCGUGUGCUGGAAAAUUAGAACUCAAAUUCAUCCCUCUGCUAAGCUGGAAGCAAAAGAUUCUUGAACCUGCGGCAAAAAGUGUCAUCGCACCAUGACGACACCAACAAAGAAGACCGGCGAAGCGACCUCCACCAGACUGGGCUGAUGAGUCAGCUGUUAAAAAAAGUACCACCAGGAGUUUCCAGAGGGUAUUUCAGGAUGAGAACAUGCUCAGGAUUCUUUGUAACCACUCAGUUGGUGUGAAGGAAUCUGCUCUACUAACAACAAAUUCUCGAUGUGCCUUCUUGGUUUUCAUUCGGAGGUGGAGCUGAUUUCAGCACCGGAGCUGUCCGGACCUGACGCCGCUGCUGCUGCCGCGUUGAGGCGGUGAUGCUGAGCUCGAGCGCCUGAACCCCCCCCCCCCCCCCCCCCCUC